CUGGUGGCUCAGAUGGUAAAGAAACUGCCUGCAAUGCAGGAGACCUGGGUUUGAUCCCUGGGUCAGGAAGAUCCCCUGGAGAAGGAAAUGGCAACCCCCUCCAGUAUUCCUGCCUGGAGAAUUCCUUGGACAGA